rnacentral:tRNA from 2 species
UGGGGCGUGGCCAAGUGGUAAGGCAGCGGGUUUUGGUCCCGUUACUCGAAGGUUCGAAUCCUUCCGUCCCAG